rnacentral:misc_RNA from 1 species
GUGGACUACAAGGGUAUCUAAUCCUGUUUGCUCCCCACGCUUUCGUGCCUCAGUGUCAGUGCUGGUCCAGGGUGUCGCCUUCGCCACAGAUGUUCCUCCCGAUAUCUACGCAUUUCACUGCUACACCGGGAAUUCCACACCCCUCUACCGCACUCUAGCCUGCCAGUAUCCAAUGCCAUUCCCAGGUUGAGCCCAGGGCUUUCACAUCGGACUUAACAAACCACCUACGCACGCUUUACGCCCAGUAAUUCCGAGUAACGCUUGCACCCUUCGUAUUACCGCGGCUGCUGACAC